rnacentral:piRNA from 1 species
AAAGUACUUUUUUGUCUGUAGUUAGUGUUG